GCAGAAUGAACAGUAAUCCCAGAGACCCUGAGAUGAGAAAAGGGUGUUUGACUUAUUCAAAGAAGACCAAGGAAGCCCAAAGACCAGAGAAGAGUGCAGGAAAGGGGCGGUGGUCUGAGAUGCAGUCAGAGCAGUGGCAAGCCCCCAGAGUCUGUGGCAAAGACUUCAGGUUUCAUCCUGAAGAGGAAGACAGGUCUUUGGAGAGUUUUGAUCAAGGAAGUGAGAUGAAAUAUCUUAGGCUUAAAAAGAACUACUCUGACAUCUAAAUGGAAAAUGGACUGAUGAAGCAAAAGAAGCCACAAGGAAGCCAGUUCAGAGGCUAUUGAAAUGCUCCAGCUGAACAGAAUCCCGACAUAAGUUUGGGAUCAUGAACCCAUGACAUCAACAUAGUCAGGUUGAGUAUGAAGAACACUGUGCUGUGGUGACAGGGAGCCUGGUUUCUUCCUGGUUUUGGCAUUAGCUCUAUGUGUGACCUCAACCAAGUCACUCAAGCUGUUACAGUCUCUCUAUGUGGAUGAAAUGAAGGGGUUGAAAUAGCUACUCACUGUAGCUCUGAAUGGCUAUAAUUCUAUGAAACUAGAAAAGAAUAAAAUGUGUUUAUAGUCA